CAUUGCCAGGCGCCACCAAUUCUCCCUGGGUAGCCCCUCCCUCUUUCUACCAGUCUAAUCCCCCCCAUGUCCACUCAGUGACUGAAUGUUUGCAGCGGCCUCCCGCCCUGGUGCUGUGUUACCUCUCAGCCCUGCCGUCUACUCGGGAAUUCCUUUGCAUGGAGUGCCAGGGGCCCCGCUACUCUGCAGGAUGAGGAGGUCCAGGAGAGCGAGUCCCAGGAGCAGCACUGGCUUUGCAGACCAAUGGACCUCAACUGAAGCCAAAUGUUGGCAGGCAAGUUGGUGAGCUUCCCUUGGCCUCUGCUUCCUCAGGGGCAGUGACACCUCUCUUGAGAGAAGUUGUGAAAAAGAAAUGAGGAGUUCCUUUCGUGGCUCAAUGGUUAACAAACCUGACUAGUAUCCAUGAGGACUCGGGUUCAAUCCCUGACCCUGCUCGGUGGGUUAAGGAUCUGGCAUUGCCAUGAGCUGCGAUGUAGGUUGCUGACUCAGCUCAGAUCCCACAUUGCUGUGGCUGUGGCAUAGGCUGGUGGCUGCAGCUCCAAUUGGACCCCUAGCCUGGGAACCUCCAUAUGCCACGGGAGCAGCCCUAAAAAGACAAAAGACGAAAAAAGAGAGAGAGAGAGGGAGGGAGGGAGGAAGGAAGGCAGGCAGGACGGAGGAAAGUAUUCAUGGCAUGUGCCUGAUGUGUCAGGGGCUCAAUAAGGAGAUCUCCAUCUAACGAAUAUUUAUUAAGCACCGACUGUAAGCCGAGCAUUUUACCAGCUGCUAGGAAAUACUGUGGUGAGCAGAACCAAUCCAGAGAGAGAGGAGAGAGACAGACAUUAACUAGUAACCAUGAAAAUAAUUGUAAAUGACAGAUUUGGAAAGGACUAUGAGGGUUGAGGGAGCGUAGACUUGGUAGAUUUGACUUAUCCCCAGAGAGCAGGAAAAGCCAUCUUCUAGACCCUGCCCCAAAGAGGCCUUGCUGAGAAGUUGCCCAAUGACCCCCCAACUGGAAAUGACCCUCUUGGCCUGUGAACUCCCAG
rnacentral:lncRNA from 1 species